rnacentral:rRNA from 1 species
UACAGAGGGUGCAAGCGUUGUUCGGAAUUAUUGGGCGUAAAGCGCGUGUAGGCGGCUCGCUAAGUCUGGUGUGAAAGCCCGGGGCUUAACCCCGGAAGUGCACUGGAUACUGGCAAGCUUGAGGACGGGAGAGGGCAAUGGAAUUCCUGGUGUAGGGGUGAAAUCCGUAGAUAUCAGGAGGAACAUCGGUGGCGAAGGCGGUUGCCUGGUCCGUAUCUGACGCUGAGACGCGAAAGCGUGGGGAGCAAACAGG